rnacentral:lncRNA from 1 species
ACUGAACGAAUCUUCCACUGCUGGAAACUUGGCUUUUCACAAUAAGUACAUUUGGCUUCACUACAGAGAAGGAAACAAGAUUGAAGCAAAUUCAUGUGAAAAUUUGAACAGAAAUUAAUGCCUGGAUACUUAUUCUCCAUUAAGACCAACACCUGGAAAGAUUUCAGCUUGGAAAGUAUGUCCAUUUUUGUGCAUGUAAAACCAGUCUCCCUAUCUUUUUUAAAAAAAAAAGUUAAUUCUUUUAAUUCUCACAUAACUCAAAAGUGGCUGAACAGAUUUUGCUUAGACUUUCCAAAGAAAAAUCCAUCACUUGAGUUGGAUUCAAGCAAUGAAAAUUUCUGAAGAUGUCUUCCACAAAGUUUAGAACAUCUGAAAGUUCUAAUGGAAUGCUGAAUGCAACCUUACAGUAAGAUUAGCCUCAGAAAAGUGACCAUAAAAAUAGCCUUGUGCAGUUACAGGAUUAUUGUACUCUUAAUGACAGGCACUGCUGACUCUUAAACCUGGCAUUUCUUCAGUGAUUGACUUUGCAUUCUUACUGUUCUUUCAUUUUGGGUUUUUUUGUUUGUUUUUGAUUUAAUCAUAUAUAUUUUUAUGGGCAUUGUGAAAGAUGAUAACCAAUAGGUUAGUUCAAUGGUCCUUGACAUGUAGUCCAUGGAGCCAUGUCAGUCUUCAAGAAGUGAUAGGGUUUCCGGAGGCAUUUAUGGCCAACUAAACUUUAAAUAAAUCUUGAGUACCUCUCUGUACGCCA